rnacentral:rRNA from 1 species
CCUACGGGCGGCAGCAGUCGAGAAUCAUUCACAAUGGGGGAAACCCUGAUGGUGCGACGCCGCGUGGGGGAAUGAAGGUCUUCGGAUUGUAAACCCCUGUCAUGUGGGAGCAAAUUAAAAAGAUAGUACCACAAGAGGAAGAGACGGCUAACUCGGUGCCAGCAGCCGCGGGAAUACAGAGGUCUCAAGCGUUGUUCGGAAGCACUGGGCGUAAAGCGUGCGUAGGCUGUUUCGUAAGUCGUGUGUGAAAGGCGCGGGCUCAACCCGCGGACGGCACAUGAUACUGCGAGACUAGAGUAAUGGAGGGGGAACCGGAAUUCUCGGUGUAGCAGUGAAAUGCGUAGAUAUCGAGAGGAACACUCGUGGCGAAGGCGGGUUCCUGGACAUUAACUGACGCUGAGGCACGAAGGCCAGGGGAGCGAAAGGGAUUAGAUACCCCUGUAGUC